rnacentral:rRNA from 1 species
UACGUAGGGUGCGAGCGUUGUCCGGAAUUAUUGGGCGUAAAGAGCUCGUAGGCGGUUUGUCGCGUCUGCUGUGAAAACUCGGGGCUUAACUCCGGGCCUGCAGUGGGUACGGGCAGACUAGAGUGCGGUAGGGGAGACUGGAAUUCCUGGUGUAGCGGUGAAAUGCGCAGAUAUCAGGAGGAACACCGGUGGCGAAGGCGGGUCUCUGGACAGUUCCUGACACUGAGGCACGAAGGCCAGGGGAGCAAACGGG